rnacentral:snRNA from 11 species
UUACUUACCUUGAUGGAGUCAAAGGGUGAUCAUGAAGGCUCAUGGCAUUAUAGAGGGGUAUCACCCUAAAGUCUCUUCAAGUAAAGGGUUCCUAUGUCAUAAUUGGUUACACUUUUAAUUUCUUUUUACCAAGUUAAUU